GACGAACGUUGGCGGCGUGCUUAAUACAUGCAAGUCAACUGAAGCAGCGGUAGCAAUAUCGCUGUGGAGGUGGCGCACGGGUGAGUAACACGUAGGUAAUCUGCCUUCAGGUCUGGCAUAACUCCGGGAAACCGGGGCUAAUAGCAGAUGAUGCAGCGGCUCGACAUCGAGACAGUUGUUAAAGCUAUGGCGCCUGAAGAUGAGCCUGCGUCUGAUUAGCUAGUUGGCGGGGUAACGGCCCACCAAGGCAACGAUCAGUAGCUGGUCUGAGAGGAUGAUCAGGAACACUGGAACUGAGACACGGUCCAGAGUACUACGGGAGGCAGCAGUAAGGAAUAUUGCUCAAUGUGAGAAAUCGUGAAGCAGCAACGCAGCGUGAGGGACGAAGGGCUGUAGAUUGUAAAACUCUGUAGUGAGAGAAAAAAAUCCCAAUCUUUGGGACAUGAUGGUAUCUCAAAAGUAAGCCCCGGCUAACUACGUG
rnacentral:rRNA from 1 species